GUGCCAGCAGCCGCGGUAAGACAGAGGGUGCAAACGUUGUUCGGAUUUACUGGGCGUAAAGCGCGUGUAGGCGGCAGCGUGUGUCGGGCGUGAAAUCCCACGGCUCAACCGUGGAAGUGCACCCGAAACUGCGCAGCUAGAGUCCUGGAGAGGAAGGUGGAAUACUUGGUGUAGAGGUGAAAUUCGUAGAUAUCGAGAGGAACACCGGUGGCGAAGGCGGCUUUCUGGACACUUACUGACACUGAGACGCGAAAGCGUGGGGAGCAAACAGGAUUAGAAACCCGCGUAGUCC
rnacentral:rRNA from 1 species